rnacentral:lncRNA from 1 species
GAAGGUAUGGAGGUGCAGGAAGAAGCAGCCUAUAUGAGAACGAGCCAAAAAAAACUAAACAAAAAAAUUCAUUGGGUCAUAAUGAAGGAUAUUGACAGCAUUCAAAGAGAAGAAGAUCCAACAAAAUACCAAAAACGUGGUCUGCAAAAGAAACAAAAUACCACAAUUGAUAUGUUAGUUUUAAAAAUAAUGAAGAAAAAAAAUUUCCAAAACAAAUGGUCAGUCAAUCAUAAAAAUAACUAAAUGUUCAGGAAAAAUGCAAAAUAAGCAAAAUAAACUAAUAAAACAAAUGUUAAUAUAAAUUUAAAAUCUAAAAGUAAAUAUGAACAACAAAAAGUGAUUAAGAGGAAUAGUCCUCUUAUAUUCAUUAUUUUUUAUGUUUCUUUUCAAUGUUGUUUUAUAUUUAAAAAAUCAUUACCGCGUUCUGGUGUGAAAUUUUUGUUUUUUCCCUUAAAUGUAUGCAUCAAAGGGAAUUAAAUAAAAAAAAAGGUUACGACAUAGCAGUUGACAUUGGUGGAAGAAAAGCUAAAAUAAGAGAAACGAAGAGGGAAGAAAACAGAGAACGGAAAAUGAUGGUUCAGUUUAUCAAGUUGAAGGAAAAAUUUAAAAAGAACAAAUUUUGGAAUGACUUUGACUUUUAAAAGCAACCCUUAUAUGAUCGUUUGAAGGCUUGAAACAAAAACCAAAGCAUUUGGCAAGUUUCCUUAUUAUGGCUCAAAAACAAGCACCUUCUUCUUCUUCUUUUAUAUCAAAAUACAGUUAUGAUGUUUUUCUUAGUUUUCGUGGUGAAGAUACCCGUUUUGGUUUCACUGGUAAUCUGUACAGUGCUUUGAGUCAAAGGGGAAUCUUUACCUUCAUCGAUGAUGAAGCUCUCAGAAAAGGAGAAGAGAUCACACCUUCUCUUCGCAGGGCAAUCCAAGAAUCCAGGAUAUCCAUCAUUGUUUUCUCCAAAAACUAUGCUUCCUCAAGAUUUUGUUUGGAUGAACUUCUCCAAAUCAUUGAGUGUCACACGAAACAGAACAUGUGGAUUUUGCCAGUGUUUUAUGGCGUAGAUCCAUCACACGUGCGACAUCAAAGAGGGAGUUUCCGAGAAGCAUUUGCAAAGCAUGAAGGUGAAAGAUUCAAAGAUGACAAUGAGAAGGUUCAACAAUGGAGGUUGGCUUUGCGUCAUGCUGCUGAUUUGUCUGGUUUGCAUUUCAAAACUGGGUAACUCUAACUCAUCUUUGUUACACAUUAUCAGUAUAUAGCAAUAGUCCCUUUUGAUGUGCCAAAUUAUAUGUGACACUAAUUUGAUUUCCCUUUUAUGAAUGGCAGUGAAGAGUAUGAGUCUGAGAUGAUGAGAAAGAUCACAGAAGUGAUCUCGACUAAGCUUAAUCGACCUCCCUUGCAUAUUGCUGAUUAUCCUGUUGGUUUGAAAGUUCAGAUGCAACAGAUAGAAAAACUCAUGGGUAGUGGUGAGUUUGAUAACAAAGUGACCAUGCUUGGGAUUCAUGGCAUGGGUGGAAUAGGAAAAUCAACUCUUUCAAGAGCGAUACACAACUUGAUAGCACAUCAAUUUGAAUCUUCACACUUUCUUGCUAAUGUCAGGGAAAAGUCAAGUAAGGAUGGCCUGGUGCAUAUCCAAGAGACAAUGCUAUCUGAGUUGGUGGGAGAGAAAAGUAUGAAGUUGGGAGAUGUUCAUCGAGGAAUUCCAAUACUACAACAAAGACUAAGUCGGAAAAAGGUCCUUCUUGUGCUUGAUGAUAUUAGCAAAAAGGAACAAUUGCUUGCAACUGCUGGAGGACUUGAUUGGUUUGGCCCUGGUAGCAUCAUCAUUAUAACAACAAGGGAUAAACAUUUGUUAGAUGUUCAUGGAGUUGAAAAACAGUACAAGGUUGAAGAAAUAAACGAUAUUGAAGCCCUUGAAUUGUUGAAGUGGAAUGCUUUCAAGAACAAAGAAGUUUAUCCAUGUUACAAGGAAGUCACAAAGCGUGCAAUGUAUUAUGCCAACGGCCUUCCACUUGCUUUGGAAACAAUUGGCUCAAACUUGUUUGGUAAAACCUUGGAUGAAUGGGAAUCUGCGUUAGAAGCUUAUGAAAGAAUUCCAAAUAGAGAUGUUCAGGAAGUUCUUAGAGUUAGCUAUGAUAGUUUGGAUGCUUUUGAGAAAGAAAUAUUUCUUGACAUGGCUUGCUUCUUCACAGGAUUUUCUCUUGAAUACGUUACAAAUAUGCUUGAGGCAAGAGGUUUUCCUUCAAAAUUUGGUAUUAGAGUGCUGGAACAAAAAUCUCUCAUUAAAAUUCGUGGAUGUCGACAUGAAACUGUGACAAUGCACGACAUGAUUCAGUCUAUGGGAAAGGAAAUAGUUAGACAACAAUCAACUCUUCCCCACAAAAGGAACAGGUUGUGGCUUUACGAGGACAUUGUUUGCGUAUUGGAGAAAAACAUGGUACGUUACUUCUGCCUUUACAUUUCUUUUAUCACAUCAUGAGUUGAAUCUGUACACAUUUGAUGAUUCUUACAUCUUGCUAGUAAGAACCAACAAAACAUUUACAUUUGUUAGUUCUUCUAAUUAUUAUGGUUCAUUUUGUGCUUUUGGCCUAAAAGGAAAAUGAUAAAGUUGAAGUGAUGAUGUUGGACAUGCCAGAAUACCAAGAAAUGCAAUGCAAUCAAAAGUUGUUUGGAAAAAUGAAAAACCUACGGAUGAUUCUUAUAAAAGAGGAAGUUGGCUUUCUUAGAAGCCCUACUGCUCUGCCAAACACUUUGAGAGUACUGGAAUGGUGGGGAUAUCCUGCAACUUCUUUACCGUCCAAUUUUCAUUUGAAGAAUCUUGUCAUACUCAACUUGUCACACAGUUACUUUGGAUGGGACAAACCACUAGAGGCAUGUACAAUUAAUGAUGUGAAAUUGAUUUAGCUUUUGGUUGAAAACUCGAAUCAUCCAAAAAGCAUCACUAAUAACUGUAGACUUGUUAUUUUGCAGAAUUCAAAGGUUUUGAGACAAUUGAUUCUGAAAGGUUGUAAGAAUAUUAGACGAAUACCUGACAUGUCUGGUUUCCCUAACUUGACAGAACUUAGGGUUGCUGAAUGCACAAAUCUGAUUGAGAUUCAUGAAUCAGUUGGAUCUUUACUUAAUCUUCAAAAGUUUUGUGCUGAAGGAUGUACCAAGCUCACGAUUGGUCCAAGUCGCAUAAAUUUAAUAUCUUUGGAGCAUCUGUGCCUCCGGGACUGCAGCAGUCUAGUUAUGUUUCCUGAAGUAUCGGCACCAAUGCAAAAACUAAAAUACGUUGACUUGGUAGGAACUGCCAUAAAAAAUCUGCCACUUUCAAUGCAAAAUCUCGAGGGUCUUCAAAUGUUGUCCCUGGGGAAAUGCAAUUUGCUUGAAAUUAAUGAAUCACCCUAUUUCUUUCAAAAGCUGCAUAUGUUGUUUCCUAAUUUGACAGGAUUGUAUCUACGAGACUUAGACAUUACAAUUCUUCCUGCCUGCAUUGAAGAAUGUCACACCUUGAAAUUUCUGUACGUGACCAACUGCAAGAAGCUUCAAGAAAUUAGAGGACUUCCAUUGAGCAUAAAUGAGUUCACAGCAGUAAACUCUCCUGUUAAAGCCAAUUCUUUGUUGACAUUAAAACUCAGACAGGUGGGUGGGUCUAUCCUCUUUGAGUGACUAUAAACUAGCUUUGUCUUUUUUUUUCCAAACUCACCAUGCACAUGACCCGUUUCACAGGCCAUUCAUUCUGCUGCAAUAAGAAUCUUUGUUCUUCCAGGUUGGGAAAUCCCAAAAUUGUUUGACCACUCUAGCAGGGGAAACUCUCUAAGUUUUUGGUUUCGUAAAGAAUUGCCCUCUCUCGCUGUGUGUGCUAUUAUUGGAGUCUGGGAUAAUGUGAAGCCUCCUUUUGCUGCCAGCUUUAAUUUCUAUGUUAAACUAAAUGAUAUUUAUAUGUGUGUUUCUUGUUUCCGUUGUGGUAAUAUAAGCUGGACACCUGAGGAUAGUCACAUAAUUAUACUCAACCGUCAAAAUGAUUUUCAACAUCCAUUGCACUCGGAUAUUCAGAGAGCGCUUCUGACGAAUGAGUGGAUUCCUGGGAAAAUAUUAUUGAGGAUAGAAUCAGAAAAAGAUCCAAGUAGAUUGGGAAAAAUAAAAAAGACCGGAGUUUAUGUAAAUCGAACAUUUAGUAGAGUGGAGGAUGUUCGGUUCGAAGAUCCUUAUGCUCCCAAUAAAGCAAGUACUAUGGAAAAUAAACUUGUGUUGCUAGGUGAGGCACCUGAUUUACAACAACAGCAGCAACGAUCCCCAUCUUUAUUCAACCCCACAACCCCAUUAGAAUCUGCUGUUGGGGAACAACAUUCAUACACUGUUGACUCCAAUAACCAAGGUAAAAAAAAUGUCCUUUGUCCUUCCUCUCUCACUUCUUGAUCAAAUUACUUCUGCUUCUAUCGAUAUUAUACUUUGGUUCAGAUGGAGAGUUUCUGGAUGAUCAACCAAUUUUGGCUCCAAGUGUUGCGGAGAUGCAAAAUGGCAAGGCCCAAAAGGAAAUGUCAGCACUGAUAUCAGAAGUUUCAAGUGAGUUCACUGCUCAGAGUAGGGAAAUUGAGUCCACAGAAUCCCAGUCACGUAAAGUUGAUGAAGCAGAAGCAGGUUUGGAAACUCAGAACCAGUUCAGAAGUACUAUGGUCUUGCAAAAUCAAAUAGACCAAAGGCUAACUAGGAUUAGGAAAAUGAAAGAAGAUUUAGGAGAGAAACUGAGUGGUAUUAAAGCCGACAUCUCUGCCAUUGAAGCUAACCACUCUUCCAUUAAAGCUAACAUAUCUGCCAUUAAAGCUAUAAUCUCUGCAGACUCAGAGCUACAGCAAUUAAAAUAGAAUUUCUAUGCACCUAGCAUGUAAUGGAUAAUAACAUUAUUUCCAAUUUAGUGUAGUUGCAUUAGGUGUCAUUUGCAGAUUCUACUAUUUUUAUGGUUUCAUCUGAGCUUGGAUGCAUCUCAGUAUAAUAACUAUGGUACAUGCAUGAUGACACACAUUUGAGUGAUCUUUUGUUUUCAAUACAUUCUCAAUUUUAAUUGAGAAGUUUGGGUGUGUUGAAAAUGGGAAAGUAUGGAUUUUUUUACUAGUGAUUAGCACAAUAAAAGAUAAACCUUUCGAUAACAUUUCAUUAGUAUCGAAGUCGUUCAUAACUUCCUGAACUUAAAACUCCUAAUUAGUACUAUUUUUUUAAAAGGGUACACUCUUUUUGUAAACAUAAACGAUUUCUUUCACACCUUCGUCCAAUUUUUGUUCAUCUUCCUUCCACCUACCUUCCACUUUGCACUCUGUUUCUCCAAUUCACCAUUUAGUGAAUAAACUAUGUAUUGAAGCCACCACCGUCGAACAUAUACACUAAAUAAUCCAAGGUUUACUAUGUAUGUACAAAGCUAAUAAAGCUGUUUUACUCAAAUCAAUAUCAAAUGAAAACUGGUACUUUGUCCAACCAAUACAAUUCUCUUGCCUAUAAAAAAAAAAGAAUUUUACAAAAAAGCUGAAAAAUCAUUUAGAGUAUGUCUUAUAUGAGGAAAAACACGAGGUUUAAAAUAAAAGAAUGUGAUUUUCUCAUAAUGAUAUGUACCUCAUUUUUGUUUAGUGGGAAAACAAAGAAUUCAAAAAAAAAACUAUAGAUUUAAUGUAUCAUUAGAGUCAAAUAAAUACAUCCAUUUUGUAAGUGGACAAAUUAUUCCUUCUAGAAGCUUUUCCCUCUAAACAACUCGUGAGAAAAUAAAUUUUGAAGGUCAACUGUGGUCAUGUUUCUUAAUCUCCACCAAAUCAAGAAUCACUAAUUUAUUACAAUAAUUGGCCUUUAAUUUGAAUAAUAAUCCACAAAAGACAACUAAUCAAAAGAAGGCUCAAUUCUAUUGGAAAUAUAAAUAAAAUAAUUAAGGUAGUGAUUCCUUUUCUAUGUCCUGGAGACAUGGAAACUCUUUUAAAGCUAAAAAAUGUGAUGUCUAUCAAAAGAAAAAUGUGUGAUAAUUUUAUAGGUCAAUAAGCUACAUUUAAUAACGUCUUGGGAUCCAACCACCUGCACUUAUAAUGCUAAAUUAAUGAUAUUUUAAAACCAUAUGCAACCAAAACUUCCUAAAUACUUCUUAAAUAGCGUUUAUCUCUAAUCACUACACGCUAAUCACUAUAAUCCCCAACUUUGUAGUGUCAGAAAUAUGGGUGAUGAUGAAAAUGCAGUGCGUUUUGGCAUUCUUGGCUGUGCCAACAUCUCCAUCAAGCUAUGCAAAGCCAUAAACAAAGCAGCAAAUGCAAAGCUCCAUGCCCUAGGUAGUCGUUCGGUGGAAAAGGCAAAAACCUUCGCAACCGAACACAAUCUACCUAAGACAGUUAAGAUUUAUGGAACUUACGAGAGUGUGUUGGAAGAUGAUGAGGUGGAUGCAGUGUACAUCCCUCUUCCGACCGGUUUGCACGUGACAUGGGCGGUGAGGGCGGCGGAGAGGCGGAAGCAUGUACUGCUGGAGA